rnacentral:rRNA from 1 species
GAUGAACGCUAGCGGCAGGCUUAAUACAUGCAAGUCGAGGGGCAGCAUGAGUGUAGCAAUACAUUUGAUGGCGACCGGCAAACGGGUGCGGAACACGUACACAACCUUCCUAUAAGUGGGGAAUAGCCCAGAGAAAUUUGGAUUAAUACCCCGUAACAUAAUGAUGUGGCAUCACAUUAUUAUUAUAGCUUCGGCGCUUAUUGAUGGGUGUGCGGCUGAUUAGAUAGUUGGCGGGGUAACGGCCCACCAAGUCUACGAUCAGUAGCUGAUGUGAGAGCAUGAUCAGCCACACGGGCACUGAGACACGGGCCCGACUCCUACGGGAGGCAGCAGUGAGGAAUAUUGGUCAAUGGACGCAAGUCUGAACCAGCCAUGCCGCGUGAAGGAUUAAGGUCCUCUGGAUUGUAAACUUCUUUUAUCUGGGACGAAAAAAGGCGAUUCUUCGUCACUUGACGGUACCAGAUGAAUAAGCACCGGCUAACUCCGUGCCAGCAGCCGCCGUAAUAC